GCUUGUGCUACUCCUACGUUGUACAUAGUACAAACAUACUCAGUUUACCUGUACCUAUUUAUUUUAUACUAGAAUUAGAAGUAAGUUAUGCCAGUCAUCAUCCCAGAGUGUGCAUUUAGAUGCCAGGUAAAGCAUGUCACUGUGCCUACCAUGUCAAUCACACUACUGUGUGAAUGUUGGUUUUCUAACAAAUGUGCUUUUCCUUUUCCCCAUGCCUUCACCGGGCCUCUUUUAACUGCCUUGCGCCUUGUAAACUGUUCCCUUCUCGCUCCGGCUUGUACUGGGAGGAUUAUUUUGUGCAUGUGGCAUUCCUUUCUUCAUAUUGUACCCUGCAUGAUCCACAGACAAACGGAAGAAAAGAUCUACACUACACUGAUGGAUCAAAUAUUUAUUAAAAAAGAAUCGAAGGUGUUGUUGGCUGUAAGGAUGGACACUGAUUCCUGUUGCACUGUAAAAGACUGAGCUGACUGUGUGUGCAUACAUGGCACUCAGGUCCUUUUACUGUGCAUGAAGAAUAAACAUGGUCUCCCAUUCCAACAUGCUGCCUUGUCAGGAUAGGUUUUGUUUUCUUUAAAUCCUGUGUAAAUGUUUUCUAUACACUAUACAUAUGUAUAAUAUAGCUUCCUCUGCAUGCCUUCUGUUGUAAGUAGCCAAGCAAUCUGAUCUAUAUUUCUAUAGUAAUUUGCUGUGUACAUUGGUGCUCAGUGGUAUGACAUGAUAAUUAAUCUGAUUUUACAAAUAAAAAUCAUUGGUUUGAUUUAAUCAACACUAUACAGAUUUGAAAUGUUCUUUCUGAUAGUGAUACUAAAUAAACACAUUUUCAAAAAUA